GCAGUGAGCCGAGAUGGCACUACUGCACUCUAGCCUGGGUGACAAAGCAAGACUCUGUCUCGAAAAAAAAAUAUUGAAGCAGAUUACUCAACUAAUUGCCAACCCAUCAGGGGACCUGAUAGUGUAAAAUCUUUCAUAACUAAAGUACAGGUGUAAAAACUAACAUUCAGAGCAGGCAAGACAUUUUCCCAGGACCACACAACUCAUCAGUGUGCAAAACUGGGAUUCAAACACAGAUCUAGCCACUCCCUUUCUGCUUCCUGAUCUGUAACAUGAAGCCUCAGUCUCUCUCAGAGCACUGCUGGAACAGGAAGGGGAACAGGUGAACUGCAGCUUUCUGGAGAUGUGGAGUCAGGUUAGAAAAGCAUGGGUCAGGAUGUCAGGAGAAAUUUUCCCUUCAAACCGGACCAUGAGGCAGGGAUCCUUAAGCUCAUAGCCUGGGACUUUGACAGGACCUGACAGGUUGAACCUCGUCUGAGAAAUUCCCUUCCCAGUAUCUGGGCAGGAGAUCUCUAGCUUCUGUCUGGUUUCCCCCACAGGUUAGCACUGCUCAGCUCUGCUCAACUGGGGAGCUAGACAAGAGAGGAACUGAGAAGAAGGAGAAGCUGCAGAAGAAACUGACCUUUCUUUCAACUGCCCUGGAGUUAGCUCACUCCCAGAGGGAUAAAAGACCUUGAAUCAAAGUCUUUGGGCUGCAUUUGAUGGUGCUUUUCCUCCCACAACCUCAGGGGCAGGCUGACUCCCAGGUGCCUGGCUGGCUCCAACCUGAGUCCUGACAGGUGCAACCUGUAUCUUGAUGGCCUUCGAUGGGCCUGGAAAAGGGCAGAAGGAGUACAAAUGUUGCUGGUGUCUCAGGUCUCUUUCACAGACCAAAACCUCCCUGGACUAGGGAAAGGCGUUUAUUGGAUUUGGCAGAUUAUCGAAAGCCUUACACCCUCUCCGUGUACACUCACGAGGCCCUGUCAUCUGCAGCUGCAGCUGGGCCUCCUGACACUGAGCAGGUGUUCUGUGUAGAAUGCGCCCUUCACACACACCAGAAAUCAGUGGCUUUCUGACUUUAAAAGUAGAUGUCUUGUGGGCUUGGUAACCACAACCUAAAUGGUUUCUAGGGAAUGCAGCCAAAUCAACUUUCUGAACUUCUAUUUGCUGGGUUUGUUUCAUCUCAAAUGCUGAGAACUGUGAGCCAGGCCGAAAUAUAAAA
rnacentral:lncRNA from 1 species